rnacentral:rRNA from 1 species
AGAGUUUGAUCCUGGCUCAGAUUGAACGCUGGCGGCGUGCUUAACACAUGCAAGUCGUGCGAGAAAGGGGACUUCGGUCCCUGAGUAGAGCGGCGCACGGGUGAGUAACGCGUGGAUAAUCUCCCCAGAAGUUCGGGAUAACGGCGGGAAACUGCCGCUAAUACCGGAUACGCUCCAAUUUCGGUUGGGGGAAAGGCGGCCUCUGUUUACAAGCUGUCGCUUCUGGAUGAGUCCGCGUCCCAUUAGCUUGUUGGUGGGGUAAUGGCCUACCAAGGCUACGAUGGGUAGCUGGUCUGAGAGGAUGAUCAGCCACACUGGAACUGAAACACGGUCCAGACUCCUACGGGAGGCAGCAGUGGGGAAUAUUGCGCAAUGGGGGAAACCCUGACGCAGCGACGCCGGGUGAGGGAUGAAGGCUUUC